UACGGAGGGGGCUAGCGUUGUUCGGAAUUACUGGGCGUAAAGCGCACGUAGGCGGACUGUUAAGUCAGGGGUGAAAUCCUGGAGCUCAACUCCAGAACUGCCUUUGAUACUGGGAAGCUCGAGUCCGGAAGAGGUGAGUGGAACUCCGAGUGUAGAGGUGAAAUUCGUAGAUAUUCGGAAGAACACCAGUGGCGAAGGCGGCUCACUGGUCCGGUACUGACGCUGAGGUGCGAAAGCGUGGGGAGCAAACAGG
rnacentral:rRNA from 1 species